rnacentral:rRNA from 1 species
GACGAACGCUGGCGGCGUGCUUAACACAUGCAAGUCGAACGGAAAGGCCCUGCUUUUGUGGGGUGCUCGAGUGGCGAACGGGUGAGUAACACGUGAGUAACCUGCCCUUGACUUUGGGAUAACUUCAGGAAACUGGGGCUAAUACCGGAUAGGAGCUCCUGCUGCAUGGUGGGGGUUGGAAAGUUUCGGCGGUUGGGGAUGGACUCGCGGCUUAUCAGCUUGUUGGUGGGGUAGUGGCUUACCAAGGCUUUGACGGGUAGCCGGCCUGAGAGGGUGACCGGCCACAUUGGGACUGAGAUACGGCCCAGACUCCUACGGGAGGCAGCAGUGGGGAAUAUUGCACAAUGGGCGGAAGCCUGAUGCAGCAACGCCGCGUGCGGGAUGACGGCCUUCGGGUUGUAAACCGCUUUCGCCUGUGACGAAGCGUGAGUGACGGUAAUGGGUAAAGAAGCACCGGCUAACUACGUGCCAGCAGCCGCGGUGAUACGUAGGGUGCGAGCGUUGUCCGGAUUUAUUGGGCGUAAAGGGCUCGUAGGUGGUUGAUCGCGUCGGAAGUGUAAUCUUGGGGCUUAACCCUGAGCGUGCUUUCGAUACGGGUUGACUUGAGGAAGGUAGGGGAGAAUGGAAUUCCUGGUGGAGCGGUGGAAUGCGCAGAUAUCAGGAGGAACACCAGUGGCGAAGGCGGUUCUCUGGGCCUUUCCUGACGCUGAGGAGCGAAAGCGUGGGGAGCGAACAGGCUUAGAUACCCUGGUAGUCCACGCUGUAAACGGUGGGUACUAGGUGUGGGGUCCAUUCCACGGGUUCCGUGCCGUAGCUAACGCUUUAAGUACCCCGCCUGGGGAGUACGGCCGCAAGGCUAAAACUCAAAGGAAUUGACGGGGCCCCGCACAAGCGGCGGAGCAUGCGGAUUAAUUCGAUGCAACGCGUAGAACCUUACCUGGGUUUGACAUGGAUCGGGAGUGCUCAGAGAUGGGUGUGCCUCUUUUGGGGUCGGUUCACAGGUGGUGCAUGGCUGUCGUCAGCUCGUGUCGUGAGAUGUUGGGUUAAGUCCCGCAACGAGCGCAACCCUUGUUCACUGUUGCCAGCACGUUAUGGUGGGGACUCAGUGGAGACCGCCGGGGUCAGCUCGGAGGAAGGUGGGGAUGACGUCAAGUCAUCACGCCCCUUAUGUCCAGGGCUUCACGCAUGCUACAAUGGCUGGUACAGAGAGUGGCGAGCCUGCGAGGGUGAGCGAAUCUCGGAAAGCCGGUCUCAGUUCGGAUUGGGGUCUGCAACUCGACCUCAUGAAGUCGGAGUCGCUAGUAAUCGCAGAUCAGCAACGCUGCGGUGAAUACGUUCCCGGG